rnacentral:rRNA from 1 species
GAUGAACGCUGGCGGCGUGCCUAACACAUGCAAGUCGAACGGAGUCCCGCCUUUAAGACCUUCGGGUCAAUGAGGGGAAGCGUGAGUGGCGGACGUGUGAGUAACACGUGGGCGACCUGGCUCAUAGAGGGGGACAACAGAGAGUAAUUUCUGCUAAUACCGCAUAAGCAGACCCUGCCGCAUGGCAGGUGGUGAAAAGAGAAAUGCUAUGAGAUGGACCCGCGUCUGAUGAGCCAGAUGGCAGGGUAAGAGCAUGCCAAAGCGACGAUCAGUAGCCGAGGUGAGAGGAUGAACCGACACAUUGGGACUGAGACACGGCCGAAACUCCUACAGGAGGCAGCAGUGGGGGAUAUUGCACAAUGGGGGGAAUCCUGAUGCAGCGACGCCGGGUGAGUGAAGAAGUAUUUCGGUAUGUAAAGCUCUAUCAGCAGGGAAGAUAAUGACAGUACCUGAAUAAGAAGCCCCGGCUAACUACGUG